AAACAUUUGAUGAUAAACUUUUUAUUUUCAGGAUGAGUAACACACCAUAAAAGUAUGAGUUUAAUGAUAACCACCGUAUCAGGAAAAGUAAAAGUUAUUGCUCUCGAGCAUACCUUUUUGUUAUUUCAAAGUGUUUUAAUUUAAUAUAUGUAAAUACCACAAUGAUUGAACGGCAAUCUCCAUCACCUGCUCGACGAGAUUAUUCUACACGGAAAAAUAUUAGUGCACCAAAACUAUCUCUGUUAAGGAUAAAGUGAAAUUGGAUUUUUUAAUCGUAUAUACGCGCAGAGCAUUGCCUUAUCAUUGGCGAUUGCUUUGUCCCUGAGCCACUCAAUGGAGUGACGCCUCUUAUGCGAGCACGCGCGCAAAAAUCGCGCAUUAAUUACAUUUCAGCUUAUUCUGUCUGUACAAAUCAAGCGUAAUAGAAAGACCUUGCGCUUCCCACUGCUCAUGUAUUACUUUCAAAUGUACCGCGUAUAGUUUAACUAAUUUCGCCAGUACACGAAUUUGCUUAAAUUUGCUUUGAAUUACAUUAGACUCACGAGUAGGACAUUUAACCGCAAUGACCUUUUAUUGUUUCUACUCGACUACCUGUCGAUUUAAUUUCGUGAAAGGCAAGUUGUGGUCCUCCAAUCAUUACUGUCCGCAAAAUCAGAUUUAAUUUAGCAUUUCAAUCAUAUCAGUAAACCAACUACAAUAUUAGUUUUAUACAGUUUGCUUAAUACUGUAUGGUAUGAUACAUGAAAAUCUGAAGGAAAAUUAUACAGCGUCAUCACAAGAGCUUACGAUUAAAAUAAAAAGAAAAGGAACAGACAGUCCAUACCUUGUUUUGUACUCGACUUAAUUAUUAUGAGAACAUAUAAAAGUGAUCCAAUAUUUAAGAUGUCGCUAAUGUAUGUUUCAUAAACAACAUUGAAUCCAAUAAGUGCCAGUAGAAAAAAGAAAUGUUUUUUUCUCAUUCAUAUUAUAUGCAUUUAAUGAUAAUAAUUAUAACUUUCAAAGUUUAGAAUAAAAGAACACUUUGCGAUUGAUAACAAAUUUAAAUAUGCGAAUUAGAUAUUAUGUCAUAAAAAAAAUAUUCCAUGUUGAUGUUUGAAAUCCAUAUUAUUUAUAAACCGUAAAAUACUCAUUCACUACUUCAUAGGUCGUUUCUAUUGCUGAUGUUCGUAAAUAGAGUUGUCCAAAUCGUGCAAUAAUAUAAGUUGUUCAUCAAUUCAAGAACAUACAUGCAAGAUACUGUCGUAAUAAACUCCGAGUAUAGAUCGCUACCACACUUGAUGCCCCAGGACACAAUAGCGACCUGCACGUAUUUUUUGGGAUCCGUUUUCAAGGGACAUAUAAGUGGACUGCCUCCGUCUUCCUGUUAAACAUCAAACAAUCGCGUAUAGUACGUUAUUAUUAUAGAUGAUUAAUUUAUUAAUAGCGAUCAAUAAACUGUAAAAAAAUCGACACCAUUAAAGUUUUGUUUGGAUACACAAGUAA